CAAUCGUGCAAGCAGCACAAGGAGAAGUUAUUUAAAGGGAUCAAAAGUGUUAAGAUCUAUAUUGGUGAUGUAUUUGACUUCUUGAGGAGUAAGGAAGAGCACAUUAUAACUUUGGAGGAAGUAUUUUGUCGGAUUCAAGAUAUUAGGGCAAUGUUCAAGGCAAAGAUAUAUAUUGGCUCAAGGAAAAAACAUCUUAUUCUUAAUUGACUCUGGAUCAAAAUGGAUUGAAGCUGAAGAAAUGAAGGACACGUCGACCACAGGAACAUUGAAACAGAUAUUUCAUUGGUUUUCACGCUUUGGAUUUCUGUGGGACCACACUGAUAAUGGUCCUCCAUUUGCAAGUGAGGGAUUCAAGACAAAAUUGUUUGAUUGGGAGGUAACCUUAUUUUUGUCUCCUCCGUAUCACCCUCACUCAAAUAGUUUGGCUGAAAGAGCCGUAGGUAUUUGGAAUGUGGAAAAACACCCGCAGAUCUUUUACUUUCUUGUCCCUUACGUACUCGCUUUCAUGGACUGUUGCCGUGUCUCUCACAAAAGAAAUUCUUGUCUUAUAUGAAAGUCAAGGUCCGAUGUUACGGAUGGGGGAAACCACAGUGGGUUCCAGGGACUCUAGUUAACCCAAUGGGAGUAACUCUAUGAUAUGUCAAAUGUCAAGAUGAUGUCUGGAGAAGACACCUUAAUCAACUUUGCCCUCGAAUGUCGUCUUGAUUGGGGGGCUGAUGUCAUGUAUUUUAUUUGUUACCCUCGUUUGAUGAUUAUCCCGGUUUUUGAUUUUCUUGUUUUAUAAAUGUACUUAGUUUUAUCAUUUAAUAUACGUACGUAAUCUUUUUACCUUUUAGUACUGAACUGCUCAUAUCUCGAGAAUAUAUCCUAUUUCUACAUA
rnacentral:lncRNA from 1 species